rnacentral:hammerhead_ribozyme from 1 species
GUACUUCUGAAGAGUCCCAAACUAGGACGAAACAGCUGUCCAGUGC